rnacentral:rRNA from 1 species
CACGUAGGGCGCAAGCGUUGUCCGGAAUUAUUGGGCGUAAAGAGCUCGUAGGCGGUCUGUUGCGUCCGCUGUGAAAACCCAGGGCUUAACCCUGGGCUAGCAGUGGAUACGGGCAGACUAGAGGUAGGUAGGGGAGAAUGGAAUUCCCGGUGUAGCGGUGAAAUGCGCAGAUAUCGGGAGGAACACCGGUGGCGAAGGCGGUUCUCUGGGCCUUACCUGACGCUGAGGAGCGAAAGCGUGGGGGAGCGAACAGG